rnacentral:ncRNA from 1 species
GGUUAAGCGACUAAGCGUACACGGUGGAUGCCCUGGCAGUCAGAGGCGAUGAAGGACGUGCUAAUCUGCGAUAAGCGUCGGUAAGGUGAUAUGAACCGUUAUAACCGGCGAUUUCCGAAUGGGGAAACCCAGUGUGUUUCGACACACUAUCAUUAACUGAAUCCAUAGGUUAAUGAGGCGAACCGGGGGAACUGAAACAUCUAAGUACCCCGAGGAAAAGAAAUCAACCGAGAUUCCCCCAGUAGCGGCGAGCGAACGGGGAGGAGCCCAGAGCCUGAAUCAGUGUGUGUGUUAGUGGAAGCGUCUGGAAAGGCGCGCGAUACAGGGU